UACAGAGGGUGCGAGCGUUAAUCGGAUUUACUGGGCGUAAAGCGCGCGUAGGCGGCAAGUUAAGUUGGGUGUGAAAGCCCCGGGCUCAACCUGGGAAUUGCAUUCAAAACUGGCUAGCUCGAGUACAGCAGAGGAUAGUGGAAUUUCCGGUGUAGCGGUGAAAUGCGUAGAGAUCGGAAGGAACACCAGUGGCGAAGGCGACUGUCUGGGCUGAUACUGACGCUGAGGUGCGAAAGCGUAGGUAGCGAACAGG
rnacentral:misc_RNA from 1 species